GUGCUAAGGUAGCAUAAUCAUUUGUUUCUUAAUUGGUAACUGGAAUGAACGGUUGAACUAGUUUAAUAGGUAUGUAUGUUUAUACAGAAAGUUAAAGUCAAGGUAAGAAUUCUUUGAUUUUUUAGGGGACGAUAAGACCCUAAAAGCUUUAUAAAUAUAGUGAUGAUUUUGUUUUUUAAGUUAGCUUAUUUUACUGGGGCGGUAUUGAUAUUUUAACUAUCAGUUAAUUUGAGAUCCUAAAUAUAUAGAUAACAUGUAAAAGUUACUUUAGGGGUAACAGUGCAAUAUUUUUGGAGAGAUCUUAUCGAUAAAUAUGUUUGCAACCUCGAUGUUGAAUUAAAAUUUCUACGUGAAGCAGAAGGUACAGUAGAGGGUUUGUUCAACCUUUAAAUUUUUACAUGAUCUGAGUUCAAACCGG
rnacentral:rRNA from 1 species